UACGGGAGGGUGCAAGCGUUACUCGGAAUCACUGGGCGUAAAGGAUGCGUAGGCUGGAAAUCAAGUCGAGAGUGAAAUCCAACGGCUCAACCGUUGAACUGCUCUCGAAACUGGUUACCUAGAAUAUGGGAGAGGUAGAUGGAAUUGGUGGUGUAGGGGUAAAAUCCGUAGAUAUCACCAGGAAUACCGAUUGCGAAGGCGAUCUACUGGAACAUUAUUGACGCUGAGGCAUGAAAGCGUGGGGAGCAAACAGG
rnacentral:rRNA from 1 species